CCAAGGUUCUAGGAUUACUGAUCCUAGAAUCCGAGACCGAAGCCAACAAGCAAGAAGCGAGUUGGCUUCCCUGAUUCGUAAUGCUGAGAAGGAAGCUUACGCUUCCGUAAUGUUGGCUUUCAGAUAUCAAGCAGACCAAAUAACAUGGGAGAAGGAAUCACUCCUAUGUGAACUGAGAAAUGUCCUGAAUAUCAUGCAGGGAGGAUCAUAGCGAAAUUCUCACAACAACUCGUGCGGAUAACACCGCAAAGGAUUUACGUGAUUUCAUCUGCAGCUCCGCCAGCUCCCAACUGACAUCCAUUAUCCAUUAGAUCUGAAAAUGGAGGGAGAGCAAUGAAGUUUCAAGAUGCGUUGUGGGUGCUGCCUCUUUGAUAAAAGGUCGAGGCACUAAUUUUGAAUUUCUAAACUUAGCCUCACACGAUAAUAAAAAUGGAGGAAAAAGAAAGGG